GAAACCGGAGCUAAUACCGGAUAAUAUUUCGAACCGCAUGGUUCAAAAGUGAAAGACGGUCUUGCUGUCACUUAUAGAUGGAUCCGCGCUGCAUUAGCUAGUUGGUAAGGUAACGGCUUACCAAGGCAACGAUGCAUAGCCGACCUGAGAGGGUGAUCGGCCACACUGGAACUGAGACACGGUCCAG
rnacentral:rRNA from 1 species